rnacentral:rRNA from 1 species
AGUGAACGCUGGCGGUAGGCCUAACACAUGCAAGUCGAACGGCAGCACAGUAAGAGCUUGCUCUUACGGGUGGCGAGUGGCGGACGGGUGAGGAAUACAUCGGAAUCUACUUUUUCUUGGGGGAUAACGUAGGGAAACUUACGCUAAUACCGCAUACGACCUACGGGUGAAAGCAGAGGAUCUUCGGCCCUUGCGCGAUUGAAUGAGCCGAUGUCGGAUUAGCUAGUUGGCGGGGUAGAGGCCCACCAAGGCGACGAUCCGUAGCUGGUCUGAGAGGAUGAUCAGGCACACGGGAACUGAGACACGGUCCAGACUCCUACGGGAGGCAGCAGCGGGGAAUAUUGGACAAUGGGCGAAAGCCUGAUCCAGCCAUACCGCGUGGGUGAAGAAGGCCUUCGGGUUGUAAAGCCCUUUUGUUGGGAAAGAAAAGCAGCAGGUUAAUACCCCGCUGUUCUGACGGUACCCAAAGAAUAAGCACCGGCUAACUUCGUG